UACGUAGGGGGCAAGCGUUGUCCGGAAUCAUUGGGCGUAAAGAGCGUGUAGGCGGCCAGAUAAGUCCGCUGUGAAAUCUCGAGGCUCAACUUCGAGCUGUCGGUGGAAACUGUCUGGCUAGAGUCCGGAAGAGGAGAAUGGAAUUCCAGGUGUAGCGGUGAAAUGCGUAGAUAUCUGGAGGAACACCGGUGGCGAAGGCGGCAUCCUGGACCGGCAUUGACGCUGAGGCGCGAAAGCCAGGGGAGCAAACGGG
rnacentral:rRNA from 1 species